UCGGAUAUACCACGUGAUUGUUAUCGCUGGUGGAUGCUGCAAGUGUUUGUACACACCAUUUUUUGUAGAAAAACAUAACGAUUUCGGAUUAUUCAUCUUGAUCAAUGCUUAAUAAUCAGUGGAUUAGUAGUACAUACGACUUUAUGCACAGUAUGUAAGUGAUGAUAUUUCGGAUUCGCUUUGUGACUGUUUUUCGACUCCAUCGGAGCCUGGGUACAUGCGGGGUGUUUCAAAAUGGCGGACAUGACGAGGAUUGUGCCAAUCGGCCAUUCGUACAUUAGAAGGAUGGACAAGUAUAUGAAAGACAAGAUGUGAAAAAAAAAAUCUUUGUUUUGACCUAAAUUAUAAAUAGAUUCUCACUGUUGAUCCGUGGCCAAGGUGGGUUAAACGUUGAGGGUUUGGCGAAAUCGUGAACACUAUGUACUUUCUCCACAGCCCCUGACAUUAGCCUUUUUCAAAUCGGAGGUAACGAACUUUCCUUCGACCCCCCACGAAGAUUGUAAGGUAUAUUUCUUUUACUUCCUGAUUCAUGGUACGAGUGUGAAACAUGUAAUUUUAUGCAACUUCUCCGACGGGACCCUCACAACUUACCACCGGGAUGCAACAAUGUUGUUAUUGAGAUUAAUCAGCUUAGAAACUCUGUGUCUGAAUCCUUACCAUACACUGUGUGUGUCAUUUUGGAAACACCGGGGUUUUGGGACUAACCUACAGUACCUGAGGGAGUUCACCUACGUACAAAAUCAUGCAUGCAGUACCAAUCCAGUACCUAUGGUCAAUGGUCAAUCAAAGAUGCUGUGCUUCAAUCCUGCCGAAGAGACGCCCAGCCACAGACGAAACCUGGAGAAGAGGAAAGAGUCUAAAAAAUCAGAGUGAAGUGUCAAAACUGGUGGAGCAUCCAUCCGUGCAGAUUGAUAAUGAAAACAAGCAGACAAAAUUCUAAAGUAACAAGGUAGUCGCGGAACCCUCUUAAGAUGCUACAAGCAACAUAUCAGAAAUACUCAAUCAGUUAUUAAGUUCAGGCGAGCCAGCAACCCCCAAAACAGCAUAUUGACAUUGAUGGGAUUCCGCUCGGUGCAACAGUAGCACAACGCAUUAAACAAAAAAUCUGGGAAAAUCAGUAUUUAGAUUUGCGUGUGCUGCUGCAGCAGCGAGAGGAUCCAGUAUUUUGGGGGGUCUUUGACUUCCAACACCAGUCAACCCAAAUAAAUUAAGUGAAUUUCUAGUUCAUUAUGAUAGAUCUCUUUCAACUUAAUUAGUGCAGAGUUUUAAAUAGGAUUUUCGCCUGGGUUGUGUUUGCAGACCCCAUCAUAUCCAAUAUGUUGAGUAAUCAUAAAUCAGCAAGGGAGAACCAAAAUAUUAUCAAUGAUCACAUAGAAACAGGUCUGAAAAAGGGAAUUGAUGGACCAUUACCUGCACCCCCAUUAGAUCACUUUGUUGUAUCACCCCUACUGCGGCUUUAAACUUAGUGUCAAAAGGUAAUUCAAAUAAUUUUGGAAUAAUUCAUGACCUCUUUUUUCUAAAAGACCAGUCUGUGAAUGCCAACAUCUGCUGUACACUGUGAUUGGAUUGUUAAUGUUGGAAGUUUGGUUAAAAAAUUUAGUCAAUAUAUUUUAAGAGCAAAGUCUGACAUCAAAGAAGCCUAUAGAAUAGUUCCAAUUCACCCUCUAGAUCACCAUCUAUUAGGUUUUCAUUGGGAAAAUUCAUUUUUAAUAUUAUGAUAUAUGGUAACCAAUGUGAGCAAGUAGCAGUUGUCAAACUUUGAAACAUUAAGUUAUGCACUACAGUGGACAAUGGAAAUAAUUUUAAAGCAGCAGGGGUCUCUCAUAUCGUCGACGAUUUUUUUGUGGGCCCACCAAAUUCAUCAAAGUGUAGGUAUGUUCUAGCCAGUAUUUUAUUCUCAUGUAGGCAAAUUUAAAAGUGCAAAAAGGUCUCAUUGAAAGAAUUACAGUCAGCACAUAAGUCUUCUUUACUUCGCAUGUGGGGUAGCUAGUAGUACCUGGUAGAGCCUUUUUAAGGCGUUUAAUCAU